AUGUACUGUCUUAAUAACACGGUGAAGGCAAACAGCCUUUGGUUGGCGAAUGUGACAGCACUUUUAUCUGACCAGCCUCACCCUGGCCUAUUCCUGCAAACCAGAAUGAAUGCUCCUCUGCUGACUAAUACACCCAGUUCCAAAGGGAGAAGCAGGCAACUCAGAACACUGGACGAUGCCGGCAGUCACCAGGUGCUCAAGGUAAUUUGCAAACAUUUGCAGGCAAGUUUUUUCCGGGCUGAACUGCAGGCAAAGCUCCCACUGACUUCACAGGGAGCUCCCAGGGGACACGCAGCAAGGUGAGGCCUUGGUUCUGGGUAAUUAAGACUUAUGGCACUCUUGUUAGCGAAGAAAUCCCUGCGCGCACCAUUGACAUGCAGCCGGCUCGGCAGCCCACAGCCGCUCGGCAGCCGUCGGCCGUUAGAAGCCCGCUCGAGCCGUCAUUAAUUUUGCCAUCCCUCACUUUCUGAAAUCAGAGGAUGACAUCACUUUGAU
rnacentral:lncRNA from 1 species